rnacentral:tRNA from 1 species
GCCGGCAUAGCUCAAUCGGUAGAGCACCUGAUUUGUAAUCAGGCGGUUGCGGGUUCGAUUCCUGUUGCCGGCUCC